GGGAGGUGAUGAGCUCCUUAGCCUGACCUUAUAGAGCGGAGGCAAAAAACCGAUUUAAUGAGCCUGAUCC
rnacentral:snoRNA from 1 species